AAAGUAGAAAGAGCAUCAAGGAAUCAUUAACUAAUAAUCAAAGUUGUAACCAUCAUCCUUAAACUUGAAUCUUGUGCAUAUCGCCAUCCUCAAACUCGUCCACUGAUCCCAGUUCAUCAUCUUGAAUCUUGUCCUCAAACUUUGACUUCAAAUAAUCGUGCUUAUCAGAGGGUAUCUCAAAUUGUACUUUCUUGGGAUUCUCUGGAGCCAC
rnacentral:lncRNA from 1 species